CCACUUGGACUGGCGGCACUAGUCACGCCUCUCUGAUAGGCGACACUGGUGCCUGUCACUAGUCCCCUCCGUCGCACUUGGACACUGCAUUUUUGCAAUGAUUAGUCCCUUCCAAGAGAAAAAAAAAGGAAGAUGGGGGACCUUAUAAGCAUGGUCCCCCUGGUAGAAGAAAGGCCGACAGUGAGAAAAAAAGAGGGAAAGAAAGGAGAGGAAGGAGAAGAAAGAAAGAAAGAAAGAAAAAGGUAUGUAUUAUUUUAGUAAUUAAUUUUUUUUUAAUUUAAAGGGAUUAGUUAUUUUUUAUUUUUUAAUUUAAAGGGAUUUGUUAUUUUUUAUGUUAUUAAUUAUUAUAAAUUUUUUUGUGCUUAGUUUAGUGUUUUGUGAUUUUUUAUAAAUGUAAUUUUUUGUAUUUUUUAAAUC
rnacentral:lncRNA from 1 species